rnacentral:rRNA from 1 species
GACGAACGCUGGCGGCGUGCUUAACACAUGCAAGUCGAACGGUGAAGCCCUUCGGGUGGAGUCAGUGGCGAACGGGUGAGUAACACGUGAGCAAUCUGCCCUUGACUCUGGGAUAACUUCGGGAAACCGGAGCUAAUACCGGAUAAGACACGCGGCCGCAUGGUCUGUGUGUGGAAAGAUUUAUUGGUCAGGGAUGAGCUCGCGGCCUAUCAGCUUGUU